CAGGAUUUUUCAUAUGGAAUAACAAGGGGGCUCCUGUGCUUUCUCCAGCAAAGUUUGAUCCACCUCAUCAUAGAGUUGACUGGGAGUACAGAAAGCUGGAGACUGAUGGCUGACAAAGAGGAUGACAUCAUGUAUCUGUCCUGACCUCCAGGUCUCUACUGCCUGCAAAAAAGCAUGUUUAAGCUAAGGGACCUGCAGAUACUGACUAGUGGAGGAGGAAGGAAGAGGAAGGCCCUAAUGCUCCUGCUGGACCACAGAGAAAUGCUCCCACCGACCUGCUUGCACAGAAUCGCCACAGGAAUGUAAGCGAGACAAGGAUCAGGCCCACCGUCCUCAAGGGGAGCAUCAGCUUAGUAGCACACACUGUGCAGGAAAUCAGACACAGACUUGCACUGUUAUUUUACAUUUAGCAGUUUCUUGCUGCUAAAUUACACUAACACUUCCAGUAACCACUGAAGUCUGGUUAAUAGGCUGUUUAAAAUGACUGAAAUCAAACAAAAAGUCACUUCAGAAUCCCAGUACUCAAGUUAACACUGGCAGGUAGGAGAGGGGGACCAAGAUCCUUUUUGAUCUGAAUAUCUCCAUGUGCCCAGCUUGUGAUAAGGGGCACCUGUUACUUGUGCUCAUGGAAAAUUCCUCCUAUGGUUGCUACUACUGUCAGAAAUGCUGCCACCAUAUCUGGUCUGCUAAUGCAGAGGUUUUCGCGGUGUAAGUAGGAGUAUCACAGCCUGUGAAGCCUUGAAGUUGGGGGCAAUCAGUGGUCCCCAAGGGUUGGAAUUUUCAUGUGAGCGCAAAAAACUGGCACCUAGCUCCCAUGAACUCUCCUUUCUAAAUGAAUGACUAAUUUGUUUAGGCUGCUCUGAAUAUCUCAGCUUUUGGGAAAUUAUGAUAUUGUUACCUCACCCUUCUUUCAUCUGUUCUAACUCUCCUCUUCUCUCAGUGUUUUUCUUACCAUGAUGACUGCUUUAAAGUAUUUGUGGUAGCAAAGAAAUAAAUCUCUCAUGGGAAAUAUAUUUAGAAGUUUG
rnacentral:lncRNA from 1 species